UGUAAGCGUAUACCAAGGUUGUUGCAGUUAAAACGCUCGUAGUCGGAAUUUGGCAGUUCCGGAUGUGUGCACGUCGUGUGCGCACUUCGCGGGGAUUGCUUUUGUGGUCUUGCGUAGGAUGAGGCACUUUUAUUAGUGAACGUCCUCACGCAACCACUUUUUACUGUGAGAAAAUCAGAGUGCUCAAAGCAGGCAUUUGCCGUGAAUGUAUUAGCAUGGAAUAAUAGAAUAGGACUUGGUUCUAUUUUGUUGGUUUGUUGGGACUGAGUGAUGAUUAAGAGGGACAGUUGGGGGCAUUUGUAUUUCGGUGCUAGAGGUGAAAUUCUUAGAUUACCGAAAGACAAACUGCUGCGAAAGCGUCUGCCAAGGAUGUUUUCAUUGA
rnacentral:rRNA from 1 species